rnacentral:rRNA from 1 species
AUUGAACGCUGGCGGCAUGCCUUACACAUGCAAGUCGAACGGUAACAGGUCUUCGGAUGCUGACGAGUGGCGAACGGGUGAGUAAUACAUCGGAACGUGCCUAGUAGUGGGGGAUAACUACUCGAAAGAGUGGCUAAUACCGCAUGAGAUCUACGGAUGAGAGCAGGGGAUCGCAAGACCUUGUGCUACUAGAGCGGCCGAUGGCAGAUUAGGUAGUUGGUGGGAUAAAAGCUUACCAAGCCGACGAUCUGUAGCUGGUCUGAGAGGACGAUCAGCCACACUGGGACUGAGACACGGCCCAGACUCCUACGGGAGGCAGCAGUGGGGAAUUUUGGACAAUGGGCGAAAGCCUGAUCCAGCAAUGCCGCGUGCAGGAUGAAGGCCUUCGGGUUGUAAACUGCUUUUGUACGGAACGAAAAGCCCCGGGUUAAUACCCUGGGGUCAUGACGGUACCGUAAGAAUAAGCACCGGCUAAUUACGUGCCAGCCGCCGCUGUAA